AAUAGAUGUGACCGCAGCACAAUAUGGCCAUUACCCAAGCAGAAAAUGGAUGUGACUUAUUAAACAUUGAUGCCCAUGAUGGCCAAAGGUUGGCUGCCUGAUGGUGCCUAUCUUCUACAAUGUCCAACAAAGGAGCUUUUCCAAUUGUUGUUGCCAAGUUCUGGAGACAGUGGACUUGUUGCAGGAAGUUGACACCAGCACAGUUGUGUUUGAGACUGUCACCCUUCUGCAGGAGUACCAGGAUUCAGUAAUUCAGGAUUCAGGAUUCAGUCCCCCAGAUGCCGGCAAUGACAAGAGACUGAGCCAGGUUGCCAAUAGGACCUACCGGUAUGCUUCAGAAAGAUCAGUUCAAGAAAAUGAUCAAGACAACUAUGAAACGUCAAAGUAUAACAGUGUGGGCUGGUGUCAGCUGUCAGAUCUAAGGGACGGCAGCCUCUCCCUCGUCAUUAGAAACUCAUCUUGAAGCUGCUUAACUAUCGGUUGCAGCUUUUCUGGCACGUCAUUAAAGAUCUACAAAGCAAUCCAAAUUUUUACAGAAAACAGCAGCAGGGAAGGGGUGUUCAUUUGCCUCAACUGACCGUUAAAGGACAAGUUUCCACAAGAAGCAUGUCUUUUGAUCCAUCCAGUGAUUCAGUGAUCUUGGGCGCCGGAAUUUGCUGUGCAGAUUUGCAUCCUCAAGAUGCAGAAUCCGUUGAAUCAUUGGUUGAAAUCCCAGAUUCAUCUUCAUCACGAUUGGUUUGUUUGUAGCAGGGUUGAAAAAACUGUGUGGAUGAAGCUUCAAUCUGCAGGUCACUGACACGAUGUUCCAAGGGAGAAUAAUUAGUGGACAUUGAUGAAUAGGGUGAGUUAGAAUCUCCACGUGAAUAUAAUCAAUCUCUUUGCACAGUUCAAUACUCUAUCAUCUCAACACAAAAUCUAUCACCCUCAAUGUUAACACCAAUUAUUGGUAUUUAUUUGUGAAAAAUAAAAAAGAUAGAUCUGCGCUUUUGUGUCAAUUAAAUAUUUCUAAAUGAGCACAAAGAUUUAUAAAGACCUCAAUCAUGGAAGUUUGUUGUUCAAGUUCUGUCUGAAAUGUUAUGUUGACAUUGACAGGAGUGGAUUUAAUAGGCACACACUACAUGGAAAAUUGAUUACCAUGUAAAAACCGUUAUUUUUAUUUUAGAGGUUUAUUUUGAAAAGUGAUUUGUAACCAAAUUUGAAAUGCUUUUUCUCAAAUGCAAACAAGACCUUUGAAGGUCACACAAGGGGGAAAGCUAAUUAGAAGAAAAUAUUCAUUUAUUUGUUCAUUUUCAAUAA